AGUGAACGCUGGCGGUAGGCCUAACACAUGCAAGUCGAACGGCAGCACAGUAAGAUCUCUCUCCUACGGGUGGCGAGUGGCGGACGGGUGAGGAAUACAUCGGAAUCUACUUUUUCGUGGGGGAUAACGUAGGGAAACUUACGCUAAUACCGCAUACGACCUACGGGUGAAAGCAGGGGAUCUUCGGACCUUGCGCGUUUGAAUGAGCCGAUGUCGGAUUAGCUAGUUGGCGGGGUAAAGGCCCACCAAGGCGACGAUCCGUAGCUGGUCUGAGAGGAUGAUCAGCCACACUGGAACUGAGACACGGUCCAGACUCCUACGGGAGGCAGCAGUAGGGAAUAUUGGACAAUGGGCGCAAGCCUGAUCCAGCCAUACCGCGUGAGUGAAGAAGGCCUUCGGGUUGUAAAGCCCUUUUGUUAGGAAAGAAAAGCAGCAGGUUAAUACCCCGCUGUUCUGACGGUACCCAAAGAAUAAGCACCGGCUAACUUCGUG
rnacentral:rRNA from 1 species